UGGACAAAACCUAACAUGUACAUGUGCUGC
rnacentral:piRNA from 1 species